AACGAACGCUGGCGGCGUGCCUAACACAUGCAAGUCGAACGUGAUUAGAGAGCUUGCUCUCUAUGAAAGUGGCGCACGGGUGAGUAACGCGUAGAUAAUCUGCCUGAUGAUCCGGGAUAACACUUCGAAAGGGGUGCUAAUACCGGAUAAGCCCACGGGGUCCUUGGACUCUGCGGGAAAAGGGGGGGAUCGCAAGACCUUCCGUCAUCAGAUGAGUCUGCGUACCAUUAGCUAGUUGGUAGGGUAAAGGCCUACCAAGGCGACGAUGGUUAGCUGGUCUGAGAGGAUGAUCAGCCACACUGGAACUGAGACACGGUCCAGACUCCUACGGGAGGCAGCAGUGGGGAAUUUUGCGCAAUGGGAGCAAUCCUGACGCAGCAACGCCGCGUGAGUGAUGAAGGCCUUCGGGUCGUAAAGCUCUGUCAGGUGGGAAGAACGUCCAUGAUAUGAAUAAUGUUAUGGAGUAACGGUACCACCAGAGGAAGCACCGGCUAACUCCGUGCCAGCAGCCGCGGUAAUAC
rnacentral:rRNA from 1 species